CUCUCAAAAAUAACUGCUGUGGUGGUAGUUCAGGGCAGUUGUGUACGCUCCCAUGGUUUGCGGCCUAUCUUCUCCACUACGCACGGUUACUAUGAAACUGGGAACGUGGGUAGACAGUUAAAUUACACUGCACUUAUAAAAACCCUCACCUUAUCUCGUGGUCUCCUCAUUCCGUAGAAACCGUCAUCCUUGUAUGAGAAUUUCAGGUGCAAUCGCCAAUCGAGGAGGUUUUUGGCAGUUCAAGGAUAUCCGCUCCAUUCCCCAUCACAGUGGCACCGGAUUCUCAAAAAGAAAAAAUCCAGUCCAAGUUCAGAGCUAUGGUUAGGGUUACACCACAGUUGAAAGUUAAAGGAAGGUGAUUGGAACCUUUGUAAUCAACCGAUUAAUGUAAAUCAUGGACCUUUCGAAGAUUGAAGAGAAUUUGUUCUCAUUUGGUGAACCAAAGAAUGUAAAUCGUCUCGUAUUUUGAGAACAUUUGAUGACGAAGCACAAGCAAUGAAGUCUGCUCGUAACUCAUCUCGAAAUGUUGGAAGAAGCAACUGCAACUGGAACAACCAUCCUUGCUAAAUACUCUGAACAAAGGGAUCACUUAAAGGUAGCCAGUUUUUCAAUUGUUGAACUGUAUUUAAUUUAAGCACUGAUGUGCUUUUUAUUUUAUUUGAUCAAGACCAGAUGUUGCACUUUUUGCUAUAGAUAUUUUCUUGCACCACAAAAUUUUUGCUCAGCUAUUCUAAUGUGGCCAGUAACUUAACCUAAUUGGCUAAUUGUUACCGUUUUUUAGAGUGUGUGUCGUGCAUAAUACUUAGUUGU